rnacentral:rRNA from 1 species
AGAGUUUGAUCAUGGCUCAGGACGAACGCUGGCGGCGUGCUUAACACAUGCAAGUCGAACGGUAAGGCCCCUUCGGGGGUACACGAGUGGCGAACGGGUGAGUAACACGUGGGUAAUCUGCCCUGCACUUCGGGAUAAGCCUGGGAAACUGGGUCUAAUACCGGAUAUGACUCCUGGCCGCAUGGUCUGGGAGUGGAAAGUUUUUCGGUGCAGGAUGAGUCCGCGGCCUAUCAGCUUGUUGGUGGGGUAAUGGCCUACCAAGGCGACGACGGGUAGCCGGCCUGAGAGGGUGAUCGGCCACACUGGGACUGAGACACGGCCCAGACUCCUACGGGAGGCAGCAGUGGGGAAUAUUGCACAAUGGGCGGAAGCCUGAUGCAGCGACGCCGCGUGGGGGAUGACGGUCUUCGGAUUGUAAACCCCUUUCAGUAGGGACGAAGCGCAAGUGACGGUACCUGCAGAAGAAGCACCGGCUAACUACGUGCCAGCAGCCGCGGUAAUACGUAGGGUGCGAGCGUUGUCCGGAAUUACUGGGCGUAAAGAGCUCGUAGGCGGUUUGUCACGUCGUCUGUGAAAUCCCUCGGCUUAACCGGGGGCGUGCAGGCGAUACGGGCAGACUUGAGUACUACAGGGGAGACUGGAAUUCCUGGUGUAGCGGUGAAAUGCGCAGAUAUCAGGAGGAACACCGGUGGCGAAGGCGGGUCUCUGGGUAGUAACUGACGCUGAGGAGCGAAAGCAUGGGUAGCGAACAGGAUUAGAUACCCUGGUAGUCCAUGCCGUAAACGGUGGGCGCUAGGUGUGGGGUCCUUCCACGGACUCCGUGCCGUAGCUAACGCAUUAAGCGCCCGCCUGGGGAGUACGGCCGCAAGGCUAAAACUCAAAGGAAUUGACGG